GCUUAAGUCCAUAUCACGUUGAAUGCACCAGUUCUCGUCUGAUCACCGAAGUUCAGCAACGUGGAGCCUAGUUAGUACUUAGAUAGGUAACCGCUUGGGAAACCUCGGUGACGUAAGCA
rnacentral:rRNA from 1 species